UACGGAGGGGGCUAGCGUUGUUCGGAAUUACUGGGCGUAAAGCGCACGUAGGCGGCUUUGCAAGUUAGAGGUGAAAGCCCGGGGCUCAACUCCGGAAUUGCCUUUAAAACUGCAUUCGCUAGAAUUGUGGAGAGGUAAGUGGAAUUCCGAGUGUAGAGGUGAAAUUCGUAGAUAUUCGGAAGGAAACACCCAAGUGGCGGUAAGG
rnacentral:rRNA from 1 species